GACAGCUUUUUCUGUGUCUGAAUUACAAGGAAUUUGAGUAAGUCAUCCGACCACAAGGUGUUCCUGCAUCCAGACCCACAGCAACAAGCAGAGGAGAGGAGCAGAGCACUCCACUCCUGCAGUGCUACCAAAGCCAGGCUGAUCCCACAGCAGCUCCCAGUAACAUGCAUAAAGGGCACCUCACAUGCACUCAAAGAUGUCAGAAGGCAGACUCUCCGAGAAUUCCUAGAUGGGGUAUGCACAACGUGUUGUUAUUAUGCUGCUUGAUGGAUUUCAGAAUGGUUCCACUUGGGAAAAGAGG